rnacentral:rRNA from 1 species
UACGGGGGGGGCAAGCGUUGUUCGGAAUUACUGGGCGUAAAGGGCGUGUAGGUGGCCAACUAAGUCCGACGUGAAAUCCCCAGGCUUAACCUGGGAACUGCGUCGGAUACUGGAUGGCUUGAAUUCGGGAGAGGGAUGCAGAAUUCCAGGUGUAGCGGUGAAAUGCGUAGAUAUCUGGAGGAAUACCGGUGGCGAAGGCGGCAUCCUGGACCGAGAUUGACACUAAAAGCGCGAAAGCCAGGGGAGCAAACGGG